AGCAAACCUAAAACCAGUAAAUAUAUAUAUAUAUAUAUAUAUAUAUAUAUAUACCUUAGAUUAAAAAAAAUACAAGUGGGUUAGGGGAAAGAAAGCUUUUUAAAAGGAGAGUUAAUUUCAAUUAAAAACAUCAAUGAAGGCAAAGGUGAAAAGAGCUACAUCAUACCUAUGACAUCAAUUCUCACCUAAGUAGUAAAAUCCAGGUUUUGAACUUGGCCAAGGAAUGGCUGCUCUUGGAGAUGGCAGCACUGAGCUGCAUGGAAGCAUGCUCACAGGCUCAUGGAACGUGUGGGACUAUUUAAGUGUUCAGCAAUCUGAAUGUAGAUCAUGGGGCCAGAGUUCCAGAUGCUUUAAUUUGAAGACUAUCUUAAGACGAAUUCAAUAACAGACUAUCAGCAGUCCAAUAAAUUCUUAAUUUCUUCUUAACACUAUGAAUAAAUUGUUUGGUACCAAUAAUUCGAAUGCAGCUUGAUUUGCUUCUGUAUACCCAGUACUGAACAGCUCUUCUGUUCCUACAGUAGCUAAAACCCAUAAAGUAAAAACACAAAUGGCAAAGAAAAUUAGAGUCAAACCUAUGAUUAGUGACGUUUGUGAAUCUCAAAGAAAGAGCAAACACAUUUUAAAGAGACAAGUAGACAAACAAAGAAAGGUAUAGCUCAUGGUAGAAGUUGCCACUACUUGAAGUUUAACAUAUCUCAUCACUUCAUAUUAACAUACCCAUUAGUUCAUAUUAACUACUACCUUUAUAGGUUUCCAGACUUUCCAUCCACAAAUAUGGAUUUCCAAUUCUAUCUUUCCUAAUAAUUUGGUAUGAUAUAUCUAUUACAUGACAUUCAAGCAGACUAUCUCUGCAAUGAACAGGAUGAUUAUUCAGUGGGUACCCAGCUGUGUCAGGCAUCUAUGUGCUCAACUUCUGUGCUUUAGUCUGAGUAGAAACAUAAUGCAUAGAAUAAAAUUUACUUAUUAUACUGUAGAUUAUACCUCUGAUUCAUUACUAAGAGGUCCCAUUAUAAAUGGAUUAACAUAACAUAAAAAUAUGAAAUUCUGUGGGGAAAUGAAAUGAGGUCUAUCAAAACUAAAAGUAAUUGAGGUGAAAGUUAUAAUUAAAACAUGGGAAUGUAGAGCCUUUGAGUAUGUAGACAGUAAUAGAUCAUAAGUUACCUCUUUUUGCCCAUUUUUGUACGGUUUUACUUUUAAUAACAUGCCACACCGCACACAUCCAUACAUACACACAAGCACAUAUUUUAACAGAAAAAUUAUAUUAUUUAAGAUUAAGAUUUGCCAUAUGCAAAGUUAACACAUUUUCAAAGUAAUGUUGAGAUGGGCUGUAAAACUGAAGGUUCUUAACUAACUUUGAGAAGUAGCAAAAUUUAAACUGUAUCAAAGUGGAAUUUAGAAAUAUAAAAAACUAGCAACAAAAAUCUCCUAAACUUCUUACUCAAAGUUAGUACUUUUCCUUCACAUUGAAAAUACAAGGCCUCACUAACUUUCAGUAUUAACUAAAUUAUCAUCAUUUACCAAAACACAAGAAAGAUAAAGAUCUAAAAUCAUCUCAGUUUGUAUAACACAUUUUUUGAUGGAUCUGUGAUUCUCAGGAUACAAUAUAUUCCACUUAAAAACAGAGAGAUAAAUAUUUAGAAAAGACUAACUUGGGGGAAAAUAUACUAGGAUUAAAACAAGAUAUUUUUUAGCUUUCUAGACUUUCAUAUUUUCUUAUAUAAAAAAUAUUUCCAUAAAAUAAAAUAUAAUUUUAUACACAACCCCACCUAUUCUAAGUUCACAUCUGCUGAAUAAAAAGUGUAACCUUUUCUACUGCCUGAUUCUGAUGUGUAAGUGCUCAUUGGGAGCAGCUCCCUUUUGUAUGUACACAGACACUGUUUGCAAACAAAAUACAAAGUCACAGGAGCUAUUAGGAAGGAAACUUCUCUGCUAAGAAUCAAUGAAACACAACAACCUAGGUAUAAGUCUGCAUAGCUCAAAAAAUUCAAGUACAGUAUUUCUCCUUUAGAAGGAGUGAAAAUGCCAUACAGUUUUGAAUCCCUCAUUUUUCUUCCUUUCAUUCAUUGGCCAUACCAAAAGAAAAACUAAAUAUAUUUUUCAAUCAAAUUAAAAACUACUGAUCUUAAUAGUGGAAAAACAUUCAUUCAAAGCUCACCAUGCUAACCAUUACUUCAAUUUGCUCCUUUCCACAUUCUUUUUGUUCCUUUAAGGUACUAUGGUGAACAUCAAAU